rnacentral:lncRNA from 1 species
GUGGCUCACGCCUGUAAUCCCAGCUCUUUGGGAGGCCAAGGCGGGUGGAUCACGAGAUCAGGAGAUCUAGACCACCCUGGAUAACACGGUGAAACCCCGUCUCUACUAAAAAUACAAAAUAUUAGCCGGGCGUGGUGUCGGGUACCUGUAGUCCCAGCUACUCGGGAGGCUGAGGUGGGAGAAUGGCGUGAACCCAGGAGGCGGAGCUUGCAGUGAGCCAAGAUAGCACCACUGCACUCCAGCCUGACGGCAUAGCGAGACUCUGUCUCAAAAAAAAAAAAAAAAAAAAAUUAACAUCACCUUCCACCAUGUGAUGUUGUAGCACCUCCCCUACAGGGGGCAGUUUUUCUCCCCUCCCUACUGGUAUUGAAAAUCAUAUUGCAAGCAUAUGACUUGCUGUACUAACGCAUGUGUGUGCACCUGACAGUGUACCCCUUCUCUGAAGAGGUCUCAAAAGGCGUCUGUCUGCCCACUCACCCGUCUGUUCUUUCCACGCUUCACCAGGAGAAGAGCUAACCUUGGGUAGCUGCUGUUCCUUCAGUCUGAGCCACACACUCAGCCACCCCAGCCAACCUGAAGAUCUGCAGCAUGAAGCAGAGCUAUGCUCACAGACUCACAGAUCUGUGUGUGAGAAAACAAGACUGUUGUUUAAGCUACCGACUUUUGGGGAGAUUUAUUGUGCAGCAUUACUAAUGCAAUAGUUAGCAGAUACAACUCCCCUGCCUAAAUCCCUUUGGGGGCAUCUCAGCACCUUUCUGUGGAGUGAAGCUACAUUUCUUAGCAGAGCAUGUAAGAUGGACACAGUCUGAUGCUUGCUUACUUUUUCAGCUCCAACUCCUACCAUACUUUGCCUGCCUCAUAUUUCAUACUUUUUCAGUUCUAAACUGCCUUGUAGCUCCCUGUCAGCAUUCAAUAUACCUCCGUACCACACUGAUGCUCUUUUCUCAUGCAUGAAAUGCCUUCCUUGCCUUAUCCUUCUGAAUAACUUCCAACCAGAUCCUUCAAAAGGCAUCAUCUUAUCCAGAGUGCUGGCAUCAGCCCACAUUUCCCUGGCAGAGGCAAAGUUUGUUCCCCCAGGUACUAUGGCAGAAAUGGCCAGGGAAGGGUUUAUCUAACCACCAGGAGUACGCAAAGAAGAGAGGUCCAGCCAGCCUGCCUCUCAGAUUGUUAAGAUGCCAGGUGUCUUUUGGCUCAUGGAAACAGCUGUUCUGCCCCCUCCCGAACCCUAGACUCACAGCUACACUCUAUGGGUGGGACCAAAAUGCAAUUGCAUAUUUCUUUAUAAGCAGGAGAUUUCACAAAGAAAAGGAGAAGGCAAGAACCACAGAGGCAAAGAUUGGAGAGAUGUGGCUGCAAGUCAGGCAGUAUCUAGCUGCCACUAGAUACUGGAAGAGUCAAGGAAUGGACUCUCCCUGGAGACUCCAGAGAAAACCUAGCCCUUCUGACUCCUUGAUUGUUGCCUUAUAAGACUCAUUUCAGACUUUAGGCUGCGUAUGAGAGAAUAAAUUUCUGUUGUUUUAAGCCACAAAGUUUGUGACCACAAUAAUAAUAUAGCACCAUUUAUAACAAAGCACUAUGUUUUUAUCUGUAUUAGUAUAGUUAUCACCGUCUUUCUUACUUUAUACCUGGUGGAUACCUAUUGAUUUUCUUUUUAGAGGGCAGGGAUCUGUCUUAUUCAUGAGUGAAUACUCUGCUGCACCUGGGAACUAAAGUGUUUGCCAUAGGAGUGCAGUAAAGUUUGUUCAAAUGGAUCUGAAGCUCAGUCUCUGUGGUGCCCAUAUUCUUGUGUGCAUACAGGGAAAGGACAAAGGGAAGGCUGCUUCCUGAAGAGAUCUCCAUAUGGAAGAGCUGCAGAUCACAAACAACCCACACAGCCAUUGUAACGCCUGCUUGCCUGGUCACUUGUGUUUCUGAGAAGCCAUAACUCCAAGAAUAGCGAAGGGAAGAAAAUGCCAAAAAGCAGGGGCUGCCUAACAGGUCUGACUUGCAAGGCAAACUCCUGGCAGGCCUGGCCAGCUUCUGCUUGUCCCAGUGCAAUCCCACCCCCAUAGGAUCUGGAAUUUUUCAGUCCCUUUGCUAAGAUUCCUGAAAUAGACUUAAUGAAGAGCCUCAGAAGUGAAAAUUCCUCUUCACACAUUUGCUCAAGAAGAUUGCUUUUCUCCUAACACAGAAAUCAGCUGCCUUGAGGAUGUGCAAGUUUGAUUAGGGAGUCUGCUCUUGCCUAUUUCUCAAACGGUUCAGGCCCUGACAGAAUCAGUGUCACCCCUAAGAAUGAAACCUUCCAAGGGGCCAUGAUCAUAUUGUGACUGGACAAGAACUAUCAUGGAUGAGGCACAUCAUCUUUUGGAACCAUCUAUGGAACAGAUAUUAUUAUUCCAUUUUGCGGAAGAGGAAUCUGAGGCUCAGGCCAGACAGAUGCAGCUAACGUUGAGUGGCAUCCUGAUGAUCACCUUCAUCACAAAAGGAAGGAGUGCUCUGAGGACUGUAGGUGGCUCUCAGAACCCUGACCUCCACGGCAGCCAUCAAGGAGUGGCAAAGGGGGUCCACAGUGGCAUAUGCAGUGAGAUCCAAGUUUUAGGCAUUCGGAGUAGAGCAAGCCACGAAUGAGAACAGGUUCUGAAAGUGACAGAAAAGGAGUCACUUUUUUGGUUCCAUAUGAACUUUAAGGUAGUUUUUUCCCAGUUCUGUGAAGAAAGUCAUUGGUAGCUUGAUGGGGAUGGCAUUGAAUCUAUAAAUUACCUUGGACAGUAUGGCCAUUUUCAUGAUAUUGAUUCUUCCUACCCAUGAGCAUGGAAUGUUCUUCCAUUUGUUUGUAUCCUCUUUUAUUUCCUUGAGCAGUGGUUUGUAGUUAUCCUUGAAGAGGUUCUUCACAUCCCUUGUAAGUUGGAUUCCUAGGUAUUUUAUUCUCUUUGAAGCAAUUGUGAAUGGGAGUUCACUCAUGAUUUGGCUCUCUGUUUGUCUGUUGUUAGUGUAUAAGAAUGCUUGUGAUUUUUGUACAUUGAUUUUGUAUCCUGAGACUUUGCUGAAGUUGCUUAUCAGCUUAAGGAGAUUUUGGGCUGAGACAAUGGGGUUUUCUAGAUAUACAAUCAUGUCAUCUGCAAACAGGGACAAUUUGACUUCCUCUUUUCCUAAUUGAAUACCCUUUAUUUCCUUGUCCUGCCUAAUUGCCCUGGCCAGAACUUCCAACACUAUGUUGAAUAGGAGUGGUGAAAGAGGACAUCCCUGUCUUGUGCCAGUUUUCACAGGGAAUGCUUCCAGUUUUUGCCCAUUCAGUAUGAUAUUGGCUGUGGGUUUGUCAUAGAUAGCUCUUAUUAUUUUGACAUACGUCCCAUCAAUACCUAAUUUAUUGAGAGUUUUUAGCAUGAAGCGUUGUUGAAUUUUGUCAAAGGCCUUUUCUGCAUCUAUUGAGAUAAUCAUGUGGUUUUUGUCUUUGGUUCUGUUUAUAUGCUGGAUUACAUUUAUUGAUUUGUGUAUAUUGAACCAGCCUUGCAUCCCAGGGAUGAAGCCCACUUGAUCAUGGUGGAUAAGCUUUUUGAUGUGCUGCUGGAUUCGGUUUGCCAGUAUUUUAUUGAGGAUUUUUGCAUCAAUGUUCAUCAGGGAUAUUGGUCGAAAAUUCUCUUUUUUGGUUGUAUCUCUGCCCGGCUUUGGUAUCAGGAUGAUGCUGGCCUCAUAAAAUGAGUUAGGGAGUAUUCCCUCUUUUUCUAUUGAUUGGAAUAUCACCAAGUCCAUCCUAAGCCAAAAGAACAAAGCUGGAGGCAUCACACUACCUGACUUCAAACUAUACUACAAGGCUACAGUAACCAAAACAGCAUGGUACUGGUACCAAAACAGAGAUAUAGAUCAAUGGAACAGAACAGAGCCCUCAGAAAUAACACCGCAUAUCUACAAUUAUCUGAUCUUUGACAAACCUGACAAAAACAAGCAAUGGGGAAAGGAUUCCCUAUUUAAUAAAUGGUGCUGGGAAAACUGGCUAGCCAUAUGUAGAAAGCUGAAACUGGAUCCCUUCCUUACACCUUAUACAAAAAUCAAUUCAAGAUGGAUUAAAGACUUAAACGUUAGACCUAAAACCAUAAAAACCCUAGAAGAAAACCUAGGCAUUACCAUUCAGGACAUAGGCAUAGGCAAGGACUUCAUGUCUAAAACACCAAAAGCAGUGGCAACAAAAGCCAAAAUUGACAAACGGGAUCUAAUUAAGCUAAAGAGCCUCUGCACAGCAAAAGAAACUACCAUCAGAGUGAACAGGCAACCUACAAAAUGGGAGAAAAUUUUCGCAACCUACUCAUCUGACAAAGGGCUAAUAUCCAGAAUCUACAAUGAACUCAAACAAAUUUACAAGAAAAAAACAAACAACCCCACCAAAAAGUGGGUGAAGGACAUGAACAGACACUUUUCAAAAGAAGACAUUUAUGCAGCCAAAAAACACAUGAAAAAAUGCUCACCAUCACUGGCCAUCAGAGAAAUGCAAAUCAAAACC